AUUCAAAUAGUUUAAUUUAAAAUUUUGGUUUGUGGAUCCAAAGAUGUAUUUAUAUUUUGAAUA
rnacentral:tRNA from 1 species